GGGACACGUGGUAUCCUGUCUGAAUAUGGGGGGACCAUCCUCCAAGGCUAAAUACUCCUGACUGACCGAUAGUGAACCAGUACCGUGAGGGAAAGGCGAAAAGAACCCCGGCGAGGGGAGUGAAAAAGAACCUGAAACCGUGUACGUACAAGCAGUGGGAGCACGCUUAGGCGUGUGACUGCGUACCUUUUGUAUAAUGGGUCAGCGACUUAUAUUCUGUAGCAAGGUUAACCGAAUAGGGGAGCCGAAGGGAAACCGAGUCUUAACUGGGCGUUAAGUUGCAGGGUAUAGACCCGAAACCCGGUGAUCUAGCCAUGGGCAGGUUGAAGGUUGGGUAACACUAACUGGAGGACCGAACCGACUAAUGUUGAAAAAUUAGCGGAUGACUUGUGGCUGGGGGUGAAAGGCCAAUCAAACCGGGAGAUAGCUGGUUCUCCCCGAAAGCUAUUUAGGU
rnacentral:rRNA from 1 species